rnacentral:rRNA from 1 species
GAUGAACGCUGGCGGCGUGCCUAAUACAUGCAAGUCGAGCGAACAGACGAGGAGCUUGCUCCUCUGACGUUAGCGGCGGACGGGUGAGUAACACGUGGAUAACCUACCUAUAAGACUGGGAUAACUUCGGGAAACCGGAGCUAAUACCGGAUAAUAUAUUGAACCGCAUGGUUCAAUAGUGAAAGACGGUUUUGCUGUCACUUAUAGAUGGAUCCGCGCCGCAUUAGCUAGUUGGUAAGGUAACGGCUUACCAAGGCAACGAUGCGUAGCCGACCUGAGAGGAUGAUCGGCCACACUGGAACUGAGACACGGUCCAGACUCCUACGGGAGGCAGCAGUAGGGAAUUUUGCGCAAUGGGCGAAAGCCUGACGGAGCAACGCCGCGUGAGUGAUGAAGGUCUUCGGACCGUAAAACUCUGUUAUUAGGGAAGAACAAAUGUGUAAGUAACUAUGCACGCCUUGACGGUACCUAAUCAGAAAGCCACGGCUAACUACGUG